UAGCACCAUGUGGGACAAGGUCAGUGCUAAGAACAAGGAUUAUACAAUUAGCUUUAUAGGAGAAGGCUGACAGCAUGCAGAUGGAGGGAUCAGUAAGACAGAUGAAUGAAUUUGCACUGAUUAAACAUACUCCCACCUGCACCUCCAGAGAAAUGAGAAACUGACAUUUAGUUACACACCAUCUCGGUAUCUGCAUGGAGAGGAGGUGAAGGUUCCUUCUUCUCCUGAGCAUCACUGAUUAAAAGAGAAGAGAUUAUCAGUAUAAUACAGAUAUGAUGGAU